rfam:Myotis brandtii contig311860, whole genome shotgun sequence.
UGAGGCCCCUCACUCACUGUCGAAGAUCCCCGAUGGACGAGGGGUGGCAGGGAUC